rnacentral:rRNA from 1 species
UACGUAGGUGGCAAGCGUUAUCCGGAUUUACUGGGUGUAAAGGGAGCGUAGACGGCAAGACAAGCCUGGAGUGAAAGGCGGGGGCCCAACCCCCGGACUGCUCUGGGAACUGUCUGGCUGGAGUGCAGGAGGGGUAAGUGGAAUUCCUAGUGUAGCGGUGAAAUGCGUAGAUAUUAGGAGGAACACCAGUGGCGAAGGCGGCUUACUGGACUGUAACUGACGUUGAGGCUCGAAAGCGUGGGGAGCAAACAGG